rnacentral:rRNA from 1 species
CGCCCGCAUCACGUUUAAACACCAGUUCCUGUACGGUCACCGAAGUUAAGCAACGUCGAGUCUGGUCAGUACCUAGAUGGGUGGCCGCUUGGGAAUAGUAGGUGAUGUAA